rnacentral:rRNA from 1 species
GCACAAGCGGUGGAUGAUGUGGUUUAAUUCGAUGCAACGCGAAAACCUUACCACCUUUGACAUGUACGGAAUCCUUUAGAGAUAGAGGAGUGCUCGAAAGAGAGCCGUAACACAGGUGCUGCAUGGCUGUCGUCAGCUCGUGUCGUGAGAUGUUGGGUUAAGUCCCGCAACGAGCGCAACCCUUGUCAUUAGUUGCUACAUUCAGUUGGGCACUCUAAUGAGACUGCCGGUGACAAACCGGAGGAAGGUGGGGAUGACGUCAAGUCCUCAUGGCCCUUAUAGGUGGGGCUACACACGUCAUACAAUGGAUGGUACAAAGGGUCGCCAACCCGCGAGGGGGAGCCAAUCCCAUAAAGCCAUUCGGAGUCCGGAUCGCAGUCUGCAACUCGACUGCGUGAAGUUGGAAUCGCUAGUAAUCGUGGAUCAGAAUGUCACGGUGAAUACGUUCCCGGGUCUU